rnacentral:rRNA from 1 species
GAUGAACGCUGGCGGCGUGCCUAAUACAUGCAAGUCGAGCGAGAAGCUUGGAAAUGACGCUUCGGUUGAUUUUCCAAGCGGACAGCGGCGGACGGGUGAGUAACGCGUAGGCAACCUGCCCCUGACAGAGGGAUAGCCAUUGGAAACGAUGAUUAAAACCUCAUGACACCGUAGUAGCACAUGCUACAUCGGUCAAAGAUUUAUCGGUGUAAGAAGGGCUCGCGUCUGAUUAGCUAGUUGGAAGGGUAAAGGCCUACCAAGGCGACGAUCAGUAGCCGGUCUGAGAGGAUGAACGGCCACAUUGGAACUGAGACACGGUCCAAACUCCUACGGGAGGCAGCAGUGGGGAAUAUUGCACAAUGGGGGGAACCCUGAUGCAGCGACGCCGCGUGAGCGAAGAAGGUUUUCGAAUCGUAAAGCUCUGUCCUAUGAGAAGAUAAUGACGGUAUCAUAGGAGGAAGCCCCGGCUAAAUACGUGCCAGCAGCCGCGGUAAUACGUAUGGGGCGAGCGUUGUCCGGAAUUAUUGGGCGUAAAGGGUACGUAGGCGGUUUUUUAAGUCAGGUGUGAAAGCGUGAGGCUUAACCUCAUUAAGCACUUGAAACUGGAAGACUUGAGUGAAGGAGAGGAAAGUGGAAUUCCUAGUGUAGCGGUGAAAUGCGUAGAUAUUAGGAGGAAUACCGGUGGCGAAGGCGACUUUCUGGACUUUUACUGACGCUCAGGUACGAAAGCGUGGGGAGCAAACAGG